rnacentral:rRNA from 1 species
AUUGAACGCUAGCGGCAGGCCUAACACCUGCAAGUCGAGCGGAGCGGUGGACGGGGGAGUAAUGCCUAGGAAUCUGCCUGGUAGUGGGGGAGAACGUCCGGAAACGGGCGCGAAUACCGCAUACUAUCAGAUGAGCCUAGGGCGGAUUAGCUAGUGGGUGGGGUAAAGGCCUACCAAGGCGACGAUACGUAACUGGUCUGAGAGGAGGAUCAGUCACACUGGAACUGAGAAACGGUCCAGACUCCUACGUGAGGCAGCAGUGGGGAAGAUUGGACAAUGGGCGAAAGCCUGAUCCAGCCAUGCCGCGUGUAUGAAGAAGGUCUUCGGAUUUUAAAGCACUUUAAGUUGGGAGGCGUUACCAGCAGAAUAAGCACGGGCUAGCAUCGUGCCAGCCGCCGCGGUAAUAC